rnacentral:lncRNA from 1 species
CUGUCCGCGCUCACAAAAAACUCUGCGCCUGUGGUAAGGUUGUGUUACGUUAAAGAAAUUAUAAGCUAUUUUUGUUAUGUGUGCAUACCUUAAAGUUCAAACGGUUACAUAAAAACUCACUGGGAACCUGCAUGCCGCUGGGCGUACUAGUUUGAAAUCAAGCACAAUACACGGAGUUUGCUUGUCAACAUCAACCAUCGCAUCCGGUCUUCCUUUCACAUCAACGCUGGACAGCGAAAACGAAAAGCGAACGAGUAGUGAAGUGACUGUCAAAGAGUCAGCACGCUGCUGACUAGAGCGAAAUCGGCCUCCAGUGCAAAAACGGUCAAUCGCAACCGGGAAAACCAUCUGCUUGCACGGCAUAGUGCAACGAAUUCGCACAAGACCAUCGCCAUACUGAGCCGGCGGCACACGAUUUCCCCAAUCCACGAAGAACACACGUGCACCAUCCGGAACAAAGCGCCGAAGCAGCUCCAAACCAACAACCUAACCAACAAUUCCCGACGCCGUCAGACUCCGAGUUCGAAACAGAGAAAGGACUAGCUCCAACAAGCGACAGUGCCAGUCGGAACAGUCCGAAUUAGAAUCGCGUCUCGUGCAUGCGGCACCCGACACAGGAAGGAUUCCGGGUAUCACGCAGUCCACCAGUUGCGCAAAAUAGGACACCACCGCACUGUAUUGCAACAAAAAUCAUCGGUGAGUAAUGCCCGGCAACAAUGAGAGAUGCGAAUUAACGAGAUGCUUUUCUGUCAAAUUCAGUCAGAUCAAAAGGGCACGUAAAUAAUCCCCGAAGAAGGCCGACACUCUCCAGAUUGGCAUCCGGUUGCCCUCAUAAGCUGUGUGGAAUCGAAAAGCCUUCGUUACGAAGUGAGUAACUACUCCCACACACCUGGUGAUACAUGGAGACUAAAAUGUGCACGCAUCAGGGCUUUUCUUUUUUAUUUCACAGCCUGUGAUCUUUCGUAGCGGAGACAUCUCGGACGGUGGGGAGUUUUGGUUGGUGUAGCAUUGUACGUGACGGAUCGGAGCAAGCGUUCACCACUGUGCGAAGUGCGACAGCAGCUUGGGUUCGAUAGGGAAGGACCACUUCUUCCAGCUCAGAGGCCACCAGACAAGAUAAGGAAGUACUCCGAGAAGCGGCGUCGAACGUAAGAGACCGGAGCAACGUUCACCGGCGUGUGAAGCGCGAUAGAAGUUUGGAUCGCUUUGGAAAGGACCAUUUCUUCCGGCUCAGAGGCCGCCUGUCAGGAUAGACAAUCACUCCGAGGAGCGAGGCGCCACCGCCGCAAUUUCGCUGGCGACCUCUUUUGAAGAUUUGUCGGAGCAGCGUCACGCUCGUUUCUGGCCCACACCCAGAGACAUGGAUGCCUCAAGGAAGCAGCGAGAAAGCAGGGUGCACCCAUGCAGGCGCGCGUGAGUACUAAUAUGACAAGAAGAAAAGAAGAGUGAAGAAGUAUUAGCUUAGUAGAUAGGGACUAGUAGGAGAGAAUAAGUGAUGUCCAAGUAGAUGUAAUAAAAGGUUUGCACACUAAAUAUUCUAGUUUGUGGCGUUUUCAUGUUGCUAGCCGGUCCGAUCGAAGC